GACAGCGUGGCAUAGUGGUUUGAGUGUUGGACUGCAACUCUGGAGACCAGGUUUGAUUCCUUGCUUGGCCA